CUGGAGCAUGACGCAAUGACUCGCAUCACUCGUUUCACCGGCCUACUACUACUAAACGCAUCCUCUGUGCGCGGUAGUCUGGUGGGCGACGUUUAGCGAUAAGUCAUCUUCCAGCAAGACAGAAAACCCGCGCCUCUGCGCGGGUUUUUUU
rfam:Enterobacter cloacae SCF1, complete genome.